UCCACCUCCUGAGCAACCACCUGAAAGGGGUUAGAGAAUGGGAAGGUUGGAGGGACGUGGGGUCAGACUCACGCUGAGCUGGCGGGAGGCAGAUAUAGGUCUUGAAGAACUCGCUUCGGCGGGCGGCUUCCUUAAUGCGGUUGGCAAGCGGCUUGCUGACCUGCCGGAUGCCCAGGUAUAGCAGCUUCGCCAUAGGGAAGGCGCCCACCACCAUCUUGGCGGUUGCAAGGGGCAUGCGCAACCUUGCUGACUGGGAGGGGCGCCUCCGAUCUCUCCCUCCUCCCCCGCCCGCUCGUCGCUGUGCGUGCCUACGUACGUGCGUACGCCCUAUUGGGAACUGCAGGGGCGCUCCGUGACGACACCACGUCAACGCUGACGCUCCGACGUCCGUUCCGAUGAAUAUGCAAAUAUACGGCGAAACCCCCUUCCCAAGCCUGCCCUGCUCCCUGCUCCACCGGCCCGUCUGCUGAUCGCCCUUCAUUUGAUCCUGCUCCCUCCUCCUCAGUCCUGACCUGGAGAAUGCUGUUUACCUUGAAACUCUGAAACGCUCUGUCCUGCUCGCUCUCUCCCCUGUAGGACCGGGGGCUUCCCAAAGGCAAAAGGGACCACUCAGCAUUCGAUGUUAAAAUAAAGAUCCAGGGGCUUCCCUGGUGGCGCAGUGGUUGAGAGUCCGCCUGCCGAUGCAGGGGACACGGGUUCGUGCCCAGGUCCGGGAAGAUCCCACAUGCCGCGGAGCGGCUGCGCCUGUGAACCAUGGCCGCUGAGCCUGCGCGUCUGGAGCCUGUGCUCCGCAACGGGAGAGGCCACAGCAGUGAGAGGCCCGCGUACCGCAAAAAAAUAAAAAUAAAGAUCCAACUCAGAUUUUAAAACUUUCUUCCAGAAACCAUGUAAAACUUGCACAAGUAUCAUAUCAUGCUGUGGGAAAUGGAGAACUAGUCUCAGCUCUCAUGUUAUAGACAGGGAGACUGGGCCCAGAGAGGCUGUGUCACUCCCCUCAAGGAUGCACAGCAAGGCAGUGACAGAACCGGGCUAGAACCAGCCCUCCUGCUCCUAACCCAGGGCACCCCAUUUUUGACUAUAAUGAUGACGGUGGUGAUAAUAACAGCUAAAGUUUAUUAAGUCCUACUACAUAGCAGACCCUGUCUUAAGCACUUUUAUGGGUAUGAAUUUUGAAAUUUCAAGAAUCCUAUGAGGAAUAGGGUUAUUCCCCCUGUUAGACAAACUGAGGCACAGAGAGGUUCAGAGACCUGUCCAAGGUCCUGAUAGCGGGAGAGGGGAAAGCUCGGCUUCCUCCAGUCUGCACUUCAGUUUUCACCCAAGAAUAACUGGACAGAAGAGGGCCCUGGGCUGACAGCCCAGGGAAGCAUAGCUGCAGGGGGCUGGGGGGGGGGCGGGGCGGGGAAGGGCUGAGAGGAGGAGAUGCUGGACUCGGCUGAGGUCGGGAGCAAGGGGGAGCCCUGGGGGCAGUGCCAGCAGUCCCCUCCCUCAGAGACUGCCCCCUUCAUUGUCUCUCCCUACUCCCCUCCGACUUUCCCGAGUGAGAGUCUUGGGCCCCAGUCUCCUGGUCCUGCGGAGACCUUUAAGGACAGGGCAAAGGACAAUCUUGGACCAAGCCCCGGACCACUGUCAACCCCCAGAGAGGUGGGGAGCGAAGUCCUGAAUUAGAGGCACCUUCAGAGCCACUCCAUCCAAGGGUUUGCAUCAGUUAAGUUUUUAGGCUGUGAAACCACUUUAAAAAAAAAAAAAAGAGACAUCUCAGCUGGAAACCCCAUCUAAGACCGUGACAGAAGAAGCUGCUCUGUGCUCUAGAAAAAAAUGAGGUGGCGGGAAGAAGGCCACCUCUGAAGCAUCCCUAGGACACACUUUGAAAACCACUGGUUGAGUCGAUUGGACAGAUGAGGAAACCAAGGCCCAGAGAGGGGAAGGGAGGAGCCCAAAGGUACACAGCAGGUACAUGGGAACCUCCCAGAUGCCUGAGCGUCUUCUCAUGGGAAAGGCCACUUGGCUCUCCCCACCUCCACACUAAAUCCUGAAUCCAUGUAUGUCUCUAAAACCCCUGCUUCUGCCCGCUCUGCUCAGCCAUCGCCACUGGCUUGGACUUUGCAGUAGCCUGCUCACGGCUUUCCUGGCCACUCUGACUUCCCUCAACUCACUUCCCACGUGGCAGCCAGAAAGGUCUCUCUAACAUGUAAAUCAGCUCUUGUCACUUCUCUGCCUGAAACUCUCCAAUAGCUUCCCAGUGGACUUGGGGUGAAAUCCCAAAUCCUCACCUCAGGUGACAAGGCAUUGCCUGACCAGCCUGGGCAACCUAGCUGACUUUCUUGCCCACCUCCCCUCCCCCACCUCAGCAGCCUCAAGGCUGGACCUUCUUUCUAGCGUCAAAACCUUUGUUCUGGGCUUCCCUGGUGCCGCAGUGGUUAGGAAACCGCCUGCCAAUGCAGGGGACACGGGUUCGAGCCCUGGUUCGGGAGGAUCCCACAUGCCGCGGAGCAACUAAGCCCGUGUGCCACAACUACUGAGCCGGCGUGCCACAACUACUGAAGCCCACGUGCCUAGAGCCUGUGCUCCACAACAAGAGAAGCCACCGCGAGGAGAAGCCCGCGCACCGCGAGGAGAGAAAGCCCACGCGCAGCAACGAAGACCCAACGCAGCCAAAACAAAACAAAACAAAACCUUUGUUCUUCCUUCAGACUUACUUACGACUAGCUCCCUCACCUCCUUCACGUCCUCAGGGAAGCCCUCUGGACCCAGAGUCCUGACCACCCAUUCCCAGGGCUCUCUCCUCACAUCACUUUGCAUCUUGUUUGUGUCUGUCUGUCUAUCUAGAACGGACAUUCCAGGAGGGCAGGGACCUUGUGCUGACUGCUGUAUCGCCAGCGCCCAGGACAGGCCCGGCAUACAGUAGGCACUCAAGAAAUGUCUUUGGACUGAGGGAACAGGCAUUGGUCAGCCCCUCCUUCAACACAGGCUCCUGCUCACCUUGAGGCGGCACCACCCCCGACUUCAAGCUCAAGCGAGCCCCUGCAGGGACCCAGAGAAGGAGGCGUGGAGGGAAAAAGUGAAAAGGGUAGGAUCUAUCUGCUGCACAAUUGACUUUGAAAGAUCAGGGCUGAGUCCCACUUAGUAAGUCCUCCCCGCUGUCGGGUCCUCCAUGACUGAAGAGCUGCCCUCACCUCAGACUCACAGAGACUCCUGGACCCUGUGGAGAUGGGACAGAGGUGGCUUGCUCCUGGCUGGAACAGUGCAAUCCGGUCCCUACCUUUGAACUGAAACCGCCCGCCCAGAGCAAAUCACUCAAAACACCUCUCUCGGGCUUGCCUGGUGGCGCAGUGGUUAAGAAUCCGCCUGCCAAUGUGGAGGACAUGGGUUCGAGCCUUGGUCCGGGAAGAUCCCACAUGCCGCGGAGCAACUAAGCCCGUGCGCCACAACUACUGAGCCUGAGCUCUAGAGCCCGUGAGCCACAACUGCUGGAGCCCGCGAGCCACAACUACUGAAGCCCGCGCGCCUAGAGCUCGUGCUCCGCAACAAAGAGCAGCCCCCGCUCAACGCAACUAGAGAAAGCCCGCGCGCAGCAACGAAGACCCAACGCGGCCAAAACUAAAUAAGUAAAUAAAUUUAUAUUAAAAAACAAAACAAAAACCCAAACACCUCUCUCCCCUCUGUCUGCCCUGAGUCUCUCCUUCCUCCUGUAACACUGAGGGAAUUACUUCUUCAGGAGCCUCAGUUUCCCCUUCUAUAGAAAGGGGGGGGUGGGCACAACUUUUAUACUAGUCACAUCCCAGAUAUGAAAAUCCUUGGGACCUCCCUGGCAGUCUAGUGCUUAAGACUCUGCGCUUCCACUGCAGGGGGCCCAGGUUUGACCCUGUGCCUAGGAUCCUGCAUGCUGCGCGGCUUGACCAAAAAAAAAAAAAGAAGAAGAAAAAAAGAAAA